CCUACGGGUGGCAGCAGUGAGGAAUAUUGGUCAAUGGACGAGAGUCUGAACCAGCCAAGUAGCGUGAAGGAUGACUGCCCUAUGGGUUGUAAACUUCUUUUAUAUGGGAAUAAAAUGUUCCACGUGUGGGAUUUUGUAUGUACCAUAUGAAUAAGGAUCGGCUAACUCCGUGCCAGCAGCCGCGGUAAUACGGAGGCUCCGAGCGUUAUCCGGAUUUAUUGGGUUUAAAGGGAGCGUAGGUGGAUUGUUAAGUCAGUUGUGAAAGUUUGCGGCUCAACCGUAAAAUUGCAGUUGAAACUGGCAGUCUUGAGUACAGUAGAGGUGGGCGGAAUUCGUGGUGUAGCGGUGAAAUGCUUAGAUAGCACGAAGAACUCCGAUUGCGAAGGCAGUUCACUGGACUGCAACUGACACUGAGGCUCGAAAGUGUGGGUAUCAAACAGGAUUAGAUACCCGAGUAGUC
rnacentral:rRNA from 1 species